rnacentral:rRNA from 1 species
UAUAUUUGACAAUUGUUGCAACGCUGAUGCAGCCAUGCCGAGUGUGUGAAGAAGGUCUUCGGAUUUUAUAGCACUUUAUGUAGGGGGGAAGGGCUUUAGGCUAUUCCUCUGACGAUUUGACGUUACGAACAGAAGAAGCACCGGAUCACUCUGACUCAGCAGCCGCGGUAAUACAGAGGGUGCACUCGUUAAUCGGAAUUACUGGGCGUAAAGCGCGCGUAGGUGGAUCAGUAAGAUGAGUGUGAAAUCUCCGGGCUUAACCUGGGAACUGCUUUCAUACCUGCUGAGCUGAGGUACGGUAGAGGGCAGUGGAAUUUCCUGUGUAGCGGUGAAAUGAUUAGGUAUAGGAAGGAACACCAGUGGCGAAGGCGACUACCUGGACUGAAACUGACACUGAGGUGCGAAAGCGUGGGGAGCAA